rnacentral:lncRNA from 1 species
AUUGAGGGUAUCUGGGCUGAAAAGUAACACGUUCCAUUUAGACUACAAACAGAAUAAAUUCACUAACUUGUCCAUUGCACCGGGAAGAUAAAACCCGAAAUGCCGUGUUUAAAAAGCCACAAACUCGGCACUUUAAAAAAAAAAGCCCUCAAUGAAACCGUUUUCGGAAGAAAUUUAAAAUUGGCUAACAUUUCUGUUAUUACACAACGCUCCAUAAUCGACACAAAUUAAGUUCGAGUUCCAGUUUUAUUUUG